UGGGUGUGGUCAGUCAUCAGGUGAUCAGGGUGUGGUCGGUCAUCAGGUGAUCAGGGUGUGGUCGGUCGGUCAUCAGGUGAUCUGGGUGUGGUCGGUCAUCAGGUGAUCUGGGUGUGGUUGGUCAUCAGGUGAUCUGGGUGUGGUCGGUCAUCAGGUGAUCUGGGUGUGGUCGGUCAUCAGGUGAUCUGGGUGUAGUCAUCAGAUGAUCUGGGUGUGGUUGGUCAUCAGGUGAUCUGGGUGUGGUCGGUCAUCAGGUGAUCUGGGUGUGGUCGGUCAUCAGGUGAUCUGGGUGUAGUCAUCAGGUGAUCUGGGUGUGGUCGGUCAUCAGGUGAUCUGGGUGUGGUCGGUCAUCAGGUGAUCUGGGUGUGGUCGGUCAUCAGGUGAUCUGGGUGUGGUCGGUCAUCAGGUGAUCUGGGUGUGGUCGGUCAUCAGGUGAUCUGGGUGUGGUCGGUCAUCAGGUGAUCUGGGUGUGGUCGGUCAUCAGGUGAUCUGGGUGUGGUCGGUCAUCAGGUGAUCUGGGUGUGGUCGGUCAUCAGGUGAUCUGGGUGUGGUCGGUCAUCAGGUGAUCUGGGUGUGGUCGGUCAUCAGGUGAUCUGGGUGUGGUCGGUCAUCAGGUGAUCUGGGUGUGGUCGGUCAUCAGGUGAUCUGGGUGUGGUCGGUCAUCAGGUGAUCUGGGUGUGGUCGGUCAUCAGGUGAUCUGGGUGUGGUCGGUCAUCAGGUGAUCUGGGUGUGGUCGGUCAUCAGGUGAUCUGGGUGUGGUCGGUCAUCAGGUGAUCUGGGUGUGGUCGGUCAUCAGGUGAUCUGGGUGUGGUCGGUCAUCAGGUGAUCUGGGUGUGGUCGGUCAUCAGGUGAUCUGGGUGUGGUCGGUCAUCAGGUGAUCUGGGUGUGGUCGGUCAUCAGGUGAUCUGGGUGUGGUCGGUCAUCAGGUGAUCUGGGUGUGGUCGGUCGGUCAUCAGGUGAUCUGGGUGUGGUCGGUCGGUCAUCAGGUGAUCUGGGUGUGGUCGGUCAUCAGGUGAUCUGGGUGUGGUCGGUCAUCAGGUGAUCUGGGUGUGGUCGGUCAGUCAUCGUUUUAGUUCUCCUGUAUCUACUUCUGACAUCACGCCUUGUAAUGUUCGAUUUACCUGAUCUCAUUGGAUGGCAUCGAUGUCUGCGGAUGCGUUGUCUUCUAACCAAAGAUACGAGAUGCAAUCGCAACUGACUGUAGCUCAUAUAAACCACACAACAGCUACCGGUGGUUCCACGAUGACUGAAAACACAACCGUGGGACGAACGACUGACACAUUUCCGGGCCAAGGGGGCGGUCCAUUUAAAAUGAAUUCAUUCUUUCCUUGUCCUUUGUCCUGCAAGUGUCAACUCAUGAUUCGCCAUCAUCAGAAGCGUCCACUUUCAUUGGAGGGCUGAGUGGAGAGGGGCGUGUCUUUUACGUCUUUGGAAUGCCAGCCACGGUUUUUUGAAAAACGCACGUGAUCAAAAACGAAGCUUCGGACGUCAUCGAUGACAUCCUUCUGAUAAAGUGAUACGCGCCUCAGCACACUGCUCUCGAAGUUAUCUGCUUAACCUUUGAUUUUCGACGCACGCCUUGGAGCUCCGGUAUCAAACGUUACGUCACCAGUAACCACCAGUCAUGGAUACCAAAAAUGUUUGGUUAAAUCACAUUAUCUAGUCAUCACACUGUCUAGCUACAUUUGAUGAUCUAGUGUUCCACUGUCUAGCUACAUUUGAUGAUCUAGUGUUCCACUGUCUGGCUACAUUUGAUGAUCUAGUGUUCCACUGUCUGGCUACAUUUGAUGAUCUAGUGUUCCACUGUCUAGCUACAUUUGAUGAUCUAGUGUUCCACUGUCUAGCUACAUUUGAUGAUCUAGUGUUCCACUGUCUAGCUACAUUUGAUGAUCUAGUGUUCCACUGUCUGGCUACAUUUGAUGAUCUAGUGUUCCACUGUCUGGCUACAUUUGAUGAUCUAGUGUUCCACUGUCUAGCUACAUUUGAUGAUCUAGUGUUCCACUGUCUAGCUACAUUUGAUGAUCUAGUGUUCCACUGUCUAGCUACAUUUGAUGAUCUAGUGUUCCACUGUCUGGCUACAUUUGAUGAUCUAGUGUUCCACUGUCUGGCUACAUUUGAUGAUCUAGUGUUCCACUGUCUGGCUACAUUUGAUGAUCUAGUGUUCCACUGUCUGGCUACAUUUGAUGAUCUAGUGUUCCACUGUCUAGCUACAUUUGAAGAUCUAGUGUUCCAUUCUCUAGCUACAUUUGAUGCAUCAACAUUGUAUUGUUUUCUAUAUCAAAUGUGCCUUGCUUUGUGGUGGUCUGGCUUGACUCUCUCUCAACCCUCUCUGUUCUCUCUGGUUUGACUAGCUAGGUCUGUUAUCUCUGGUUUGACUAGCUAGGUCUGUUAUCUCUGUGUGUCUGUAGAUAUACUAUCUGUACUGUACAGCCGAUAUACAUGACACCUGACCUCUGAUGACAUCACACAGUGUGACCUGCUGACCCUUUCGGGGUUGUGUGAAACGUAUAGAGAUAGAUUUUUUUGAGGACUCAAAAGUUUUAGAACACUCAUUUAAGGGUUUUUCUUAAUUUUUACUAUUUUCUACAUUGU